rnacentral:miRNA from 1 species
CACUUAGCAGGUUGUAUUAUAU